rnacentral:rRNA from 1 species
UGGGGUAAAGGCCUACCAAGGCGACGAUCGGUAGCCGGACUGAGAGGUUGAACGGCCACAUUGGGACUGAGACACGGCCCAGACUCCUACGGGAGGCAGCAGUGGGGGAUAUUGCACAAUGGGGGAAACCCUGAUGCAGCAACGCCGCGUGUGGGAAGAAGGUUUUCGGAUUGUAAACCACUGUUCUUGGUGAAGAUAAUGACGGUAACCAAGGAGAAAGCUCCGGCUAACUAC